GAAAUGCGAUAAGUAAUGUGAAUUGCAGAAUUCAGUGAAUCAUCGAAUCUUUGAACGCACCUUGCGCUCCUUGGUAUUCCUUGGAGCAUGCCUGUUUGAGUAUCAUGAAAUCUUCAAAGUAAAUCUUUUGUUAACUCAAUUGGUUUCUACUUUGGUAUUGGAGGUCUUUGCAGCUUCACACCUGCUCCUCUUUGUUCAUUAGCUGGAUCUCAGUGUUAUGCUUGGUUCCACUCGGCGUGAUAAGUUAUCUAUCGCUGAGGACACUGUAAAAGGUGGCCAAGGUAAAUGCAGAUGAACCGCUUCUAAUAGUCCAUUGACUUUGACAAUACUUUUAUGAUCUGAUCUCAAAUCAGGUAGUACUACCCGCUGAACUUAAGC
rnacentral:misc_RNA from 1 species